AAGAUGACAUCCUUAUUCACAUUGAAGAGCACCUGCACUGAUGAACUGAAUUCAGUGAAGCCAUUUGUGAAGUGAUAUAUUCACCAUCUAUGAAGGAUCUAAUGUUCCAAUCAUUUCAUAUAACCUGCAGUUACACUCCCAGUAUCAGGGGCUGGUUCAUGUCAUUAUUAAUGGAAAUAUUAUGCAGUAUGCCUCUGCUUGACAUUCAAGUCAGGUUGAAGCUCACAUUCUCGAGACCAUUUGUAUGCGAUGACUACCUGCACAUGAUGUAGCUCUUCAGUAACCCGUGUAAAAUGCAUGUGAACACACAACACAUAGGCAGAAAGUCUGAGACUUUUCUGUAUCUUCCAUUGAUGAUGCUCAACUCUCAGAGAAAAACUUCUAGAGGAAAAGGAACAAUGGCCAUCUCCAUGGCCAUUCAAGCAUUGGUGAAAAACACUGCCAACAAAAUUUCUGGUUGGUGUUCUCAAUAGUUAGAUAUAUUGUGGGGGGACAGGAUACAUACAGUUAAUUCAUGAAACACAGUGCUGUGAUCUGCCAUCAUAUAAUAUUUAGUCACUAGCAAUGUGAUCCAAAAGUAAACCAAUGAGUCAGAAGCAGAAUGCUUCAUAACUCACCACUAGCUGCUGAAUAAUGUCUUUCAAGCCUAAUAACAUCAGAACUCUUCACACAACAUUUUUAAAGUAACACUGUUUGUUCAUUGCGUGGUUACAUCUGACCCUUAGUGGGACACUACUUAUGUUACUAAUAGUUUUAUUGACACUUGAAGAAUAGCUGUUGUAUCAUCUAAAAGGAUCAUUUGUCAGUUAAUGAUUGUUCUGUUCUGUAGCUACAUUUAUGUUGUUGCAAAUGUUAUGCUUUCACAUUGGAAACCACUGCAGUUUAUACCAUUAUAGCAAACGCUGCUUGAGGGAAUUGUGGAACAAAGAUGACAAGACAAUGACUUCUCUCUGCGCACAUGAACUGUACAGAUCAAGUAUUUCCUUUGCUCCAAGUGCAGACCUCAGGGAAAAAAAAAAAAAAAGAAAGAAAAAAAAAAAAAAAAGGAAAAAAAAAAA